rnacentral:lncRNA from 12 species
AUCCGUGGCCAAGAGUCUGUUGGGAGCAAUGGACAUAAAAACCACCAACUAUGAUGUCCAGCAUAAAGGUCUUGAAAGGUCAUUUUCAGAGGGGCAGAAUGAAGUGUGCCAUGCUUACCAAAGCCUGAAGGACUGCAUGCUCUGAGGAUAGCAGUUUCAUCAAGGGAAUUCGGGAAGACUUCACGGAGGUGGCAUUUGAAUUGGGUUUUGAAGGCUUUGUCCAUAUACGUCAAGUCCAAUGAUUUUCAAAAUGUUCACGUGCAAGGCAUCAUUCAGUUGUUUAGGAAAAUCUUACCAAGAGCUUAGUGUAUGUCACAGGGCAGAAGUAAUGAUACUUACCUUCUGGAUAAAAGGAUGCUUCUCUGCAUCGCAGGAAUUCAGAGACACCUCCUCCCCACUUGGGCUUCCCAAGGGACUCUGUUACGCCUUAUUCCUGCAUCCCAGGAUGGGCUGUGACUCAAAAGAAUUCAAAAGACUUUUGAUGGUCCGGGUCUAAGGACACUUUAGGUUCACCGGGUGAUUGACAGAGGCAAUUUGCCAUCAGAUUCCAGUCCCAUCCAGGAGUAGCUCACGUGCCAGCAGUGUCCAGUUGGGAGAAGAUGCCACAACUGGACAGGGGGUCUGACAGAGGAAGCACCAAGUCAUUGUGACUGUGGGCCUUUCCGGGGUCCUCCCCAGGCCAGUGAUGCCCUAGUUCUUCAGGGAAAUGUUUCUGUCCUGAGAAAAUGUCUGCCAACGUUACAAGGGGCCCUAUGGCUGCAACUCCACUGCUCCCGUGAAUGCUCCUACCUCCGGAUGCUGGUGAUGGCCAGAUCUGGUCUUCUUCCUUUCAACCCUGAACUUCUAAUCAUCAGCCAGACACUCCACACCUCAGAACAACCCAUUGGAUCCUGAACUCAUUCAUGGCUCACCUACUUCUCAGCCUCAUUUCUGUUUUGUGGGUUUUUUUUUUUUUUUUUUUUAGCCGACUUUGCCCAACCCUGAAGAUCCAAGCUAAGUAACCUCAGGACCUGUGAGGCAGUAAAAAAGCCUGAGCCCCCAAGUUGGAGGCCUGACCUGAGGCAACUCACUCAAGCUGUCUGAGCUUCACUUAGCUUCCUCAGAUUUAAAAUGGGGGACAAUUAUACUAUGUACCUCCCCAGAAUCCUCCCAACAUGACUCUUGCUUGCCUUUCCUCAUCAGCCAUCGUCACUUUCCUUUGAGUGGCCUUUGCUCCAGACACGCCAGCCUCCCUGCCCUUCCCAAAUCACAGCAAUUAUGUUCGUUCAUGCCUCCAUGCAUCUGCGCGCACUGGUGUUUUCUGCCUGAAAUGGUUUUGCUUUCCAUGCCCACCUGGCGAGCUCCUACCAUUCUUUACAUCUCGGUUCAAGAGUUCUGUUCCUUAAGGUUUUCUUGGGUUUUCCAGGCAAAGUUAGGGAUUCUCUUCUUUACUGUCUCACGAUACUGUCCUACCUACAGUCUAUUUUUAAUAUCCUUACGCUUUCCUUUUAUAUUUUCUAUGGUUUCCUCCAUCUGAUUUUCUAAUUUACCACUUCAUUUUUCUUCAAAUUUAUCUUGCCAUUUAUCUCAUUAUUUACUUCAGUUAUAUUUUUUAUACUUGCAUUUCCACUUGGUAUCUCUUAUUGGUUUCUUGUUCUUGCUUCAUGUUCCUACUAUGUCGUCCCAUGUCUCCUGGAGGGUCUUUGGCAUGGUUAUUUCACAUUUUUGGAUCAUUUGUUUCAAUAAAUCUGCUUUCAGUGUUGUUCUGUGGGUUGUC